CACACUUUCCCCACACAUCCUGGUUAAAGCCAUGUACCAAAUUUAGGGUAUAUCAAAUUUUCUUCUUACUUUUUCUUUUUUUACUGUAAACCAUGUUUCAUGAUUUAAUAAUUCUGUUGAUAAUUUUAAGGGCUCGAAGAGGGUUUUGUUAAUUUUUGUCUACAGUUUUCUAUUUCUGGUUUUAAAGUUUUCGCCAUUGUGGUUUAGGAUUAAUUUACUAGAAUUCCACAGAGCACCCUUGCCUAAGAUUACAGGCAACCGACUUGACACACUUCUUUUAUCUGCUGUAUCAUCAUGGCGUGGGUGUGCCACUCAAAGGGAAUGAAAGGGGACUGUCUAACUUCUAAACAACUGCUUCGAAGCUUCUGAUGGUUCUUAGAAAUUCAGAGAGCCCACUGCAGCCUGCAGAAGCAGUCUGGAACCACCUAUGCCUCCCAGUGAUGCUGGGGACAGCUCCUUGGCACCAGCAAGCUCAGCCACAAGAACAGCGCUGGAGUUCUAAGGAAGUCCUGUGGAAACCCAGCAUUCAGGGAAACAGUUGAGGUGCUCCAUCUUGACUGACAACUUGGUGGACUCGGAGUCACCAUGGAAACAAAUCUCUGGGACCAGCUGUGAGGGAUUCUCUAGAUUAGGUUAAGGGGAGAGGACCCAUCCUAACUUCAGGCGGUACCGUUCCAUGGGCUGGGGUCCCAGACUGAAUAAAAAGGAGAAAGCAGGCUGAGGGCCGGCAUCUGUUGCUCCCUGAUUCCUGACUGAAGAUGCAAUAUGGCCUAAAGCUCCUGCAGCCAAGCCCUCCCUGCCAUGAUGGACUGGACCCUUAAAUUGUGAGCCAGAAUAAGCCCUUCUCUUUUCAAGUUGCCUUUUUUUGUGAGGAGGGAUAUUUUUGUCA